rnacentral:rRNA from 1 species
UACGUAGGGGGCAAGCGUUGUCCGGAAUCAUUGGGCGUAAAGCGCGUGUAGGCGGCUUGAUAAGUCUGCUCUGAAAGCCCGGGGCUCAACCCUGGGAGGCGGGUGGAUACUGUCGAGCUCGAGUCCGGAAGAGGCGAGUGGAAUUCCUGGUGUAGCGGUGAAAUGCGCAGAUAUCAGGAGGAACAUCAAUGGCGAAAACAGGUAGCUGGGGCUGUGCUGACACUGAGACACGAAAGCCAGGGGAGCAAACGGG